UAGUUUGUUACAGGGUUACCCAGCACUAUAGCAGCCACUGUGGCUGACCAGAGUGUAGGGUUACCAUGGACACAAACAAGUGCCAACACUCAUAUUAGUGUGUUUGGAAGCAAAUAAAAUGUUAUCUAUCUAUCUGAGAAAACGAAGUCAUAUGAAAAAGUUUCCUGAUGUCUAAGAAGGAAAAUGCUGAGAGGAGUGAAGCGGAGGUCAUUAUAUUUCUUUCUUUUUAAAUGCCAAGAAUUCAGCUGGCGAGAGCUAGGAAUCAUCUAGAGCUAUGCAGAUGACCAGCAGCAUACAUGUGGGAAAUUUGAUGGGCCUUUACAGCUGAGUGAGUUGAGGAAGAACAGGGCUGGUGUGAUGGAUGACUCCCUGGGCAAAUGCUCCUGCUGCUAAGUCUGACGAUCAGAGUUCAAUCCCACAGGACCCACAUAGAGGAGAGAGAGAACAGAUCUCUGCAGGUUGUCCUCUGACCUCCACACAUACAC